rnacentral:rRNA from 1 species
GACAGAGGGUGCAAACGUUGUUCGGAAUUACUGGGCGUAAAGCGCGUGUAGGCGGCCCUGCAAGUCGGGUGUGAAAUCCCAUGGCUCAACUAUGGAAGUGCACUCGAAACUGCAGGGCUAGAGUCCUGGAGAGGAGGGUGGAAUGCUUGGUGUAGAGGUGAAAUUCGCAGAUAUCAGGAAGAACACCCGUGGCGAAAGCGGCUCUCUGGAACGGUACUGACGCUGAGACGCGAAAGCGUGGGGAGCGAACAGG